AUGCACAUGCAAUGUCAGCGCAGGAUGUGCCCACUGUGUGCACGUCCCGUCUGGGCGAAGCAUGAGGCAUGGUUUGCGCGAGCAUCCCAUUGCACGGAGACGGGCGCGACUUCGGGAGCCCUGUGCAUGCGCCAUCCGCGUGGUAGACCUAUGCACAUGGGCCUGCGCACAGUAGGCCUGCGUGGAUGAGCCUGCGCGCAGUGCCUUACUCAUUGUAGGGCCUACGCACGAGACAGGCAAGGUCUGUGCGUGCCUCGUUUGGGCAGCAUGUGCUGCCCCCAAGUGGUGUGCUACCGCCAGCUUAAGUGGCAUGAAGCCAUCGCUUGGGUGACGUGCCACCAUCAUUUGGGCGGCAUGCCUCCAUUUUUUAUGUCACCAUCAUGCCACAUCUUCGAUUUGUCGGUCACAUCCGUUAGUCAUCACAUCACAUCUUUUCCA
rnacentral:lncRNA from 1 species